UGGUUAGCUUUGACAUAAAAGGCUAUUAAUUAGCGCCUUGCAUACAAUUUAUAUAUGUUACAACGUCGAUGAUCCAUUGGAUCUCUACUUUUUGUCUACAUGUAGGCUCCACACAUUCAUUAAUGGGGCCGAACCUGAACCUUUUAUUGCAACGAAUCGAGAGAUCCAGAAGUCCACCCAUCCUUCCUGGAUAGAGAUCAGGAUCUGGACCAGGUUUUGCCUCAAUCUUCCACCGAUUUGUUGCCUUCGCAGCUGCCCAAUUCAGCUAGAAAUACCAAUAUUUAAUUGUUGUACCAGCUGUCGAUCAUCUUGCUUCUGCAGCUGUUUAUUAAAAUGUAGAAAGUGUUGCAAUUUUCUAGAUUUAUUAUCGCCAACUUGUUCAUGCUGUCGGUUCAAGAUCGAUGCUCCUGCAAUUGUACAUGAGAGGUCUUGAGUCUUUGCUGAUCCAAAAAAACAAUAUGCUGUAAUAUAAGUCAUCUAUGAUAUUAUCACAUUUUUAA